rnacentral:rRNA from 1 species
UCCGUAGGUGGAUCAAUCAGUCAGAGGUGAAAUCCUGCAGCUUAACUGUAGAACUGCCUUUGAUACUGUUGAUCUUGAGUCAUUAUGAAGUGGUUAGAAUGUGUAGUGUAGCGGUGAAAUGCAUAGAUAUUACACAGAAUACCGAUUGCGAAGGCAGAUCGCUAAUAAUGUACUGACACUGAGGGACGAAAGCGUGGGGAGCGAACAGGAUUAGAUACCCUGGUAGUCC